CAGCGCCCGGGCGUCGGCGGCGCGCGCGGGGGGCUCUAGUCGGGCGGCGCAUGCGAGCUCAGGUCUCGGUGCCGCCUGGGGCCCGGGCUCCCCUCGCGGCCGCGGCGCGAGCCCCAGUGUUCUAGGCGCGCGGGGCGGCCGUUGGCGGGGGGGGUGGCUGGCUGCGGCGCGAGCCCGACUGUUCUGGGUGCGCGGGGCGGCCGUUGGCGGGCGAGCGGGGAGGGGAGGCCGUGGCGCGAGCCCCAGUGUUCUGGGCCGUUGGGCGGCGCGCGGGGCGGCCGUUGGUGAGGAGGCGGCCGCAGUAGGGCCGCGUGGGGAGGCGAAGGUACUUGGCGACCAAGGUUGGUGCCGCAGUUGGGACGGCGCGGCGCGCUCUCCUCCACAGGCGCGGUCGGGCCCGAGCGGAGCCGCUGAGGCGGAGGAGCGGGGCGAGCGGCAGAGUGUCGAGGCUGGAAAUACAGAGAUGAGCAUCUGUUGCUGUUGAAGUUCUUCCCAAAGAACGUAUUAUGCAAGGCAAAAGUUCUUCAGUUGUGAUGACAGAAGAUCAUGGGGUAAAUUCUACAUUUAAAUUCUAGGAAUAACUAUGACUAGAAUGUUUAAUUAUUGCUUAGAUUAGAAGUGGAUAUGCUUAAUCAUCUGGAAUAUAUGCCUUUUGUGAGCAAUAAUAUUUUUGGUUACCAAGCAGAGCUGGCAAGAGUUAAUUUUAGGCUAAGUCUUAAUCUCUCUUCAGCCUUAACAGACAUGAACUUUUCUAAUUAAGUUCAAACCUGGAACCUGAAUGAGAUAUCCUGUUGUUUCUGUCAUCUUUACCAAGAGCACAGAUGGGCUAGAUGUAGCUUACUGUGCCUGAAAUCAGUCUUGACUACUUGUACACAAAUACAAAAGAAUACUGUAAGGGUGACCAGCUCAUUCUGUGCUACUUUGUAGAAUCUUUUGCUAUUCUUACCUCAUGACUGUCACUGAGUCUCAAAACAGUUAUGUUAAUGCUGACUGUAGUUUAGUGGCUGAGCUGUAGUCUGUCUUGUGGUCAACCAUACUGCAAUAUUUUUAAAUCCAGCAGCAUUUGUAUCUUCUGUGGUGGCUCUUAGCUGUCAGAGUACAUUACAAAUCUUGCAGUAAAUACAUACGUGCUGCACAAGAUGAAGGUAAGUUUGUGUGAAGUCUAGAAAGUGAACAUGAAGAGCUGUAGUCAUAGUUUUUGUGUGUAUGCCAAUGUAAAGCAUUCAAGUGUAUCAAUGAGUUAAUAAAGAGAUGUUGACUUUGACUGCA
rnacentral:lncRNA from 1 species